rnacentral:rRNA from 1 species
UUAAGCUACUAAGAGCUUACGGUGGAUGCCUAGGCGUCAAGUGCCGAAGAAGGACGUGGGACACUGCGAAAAGCCUCGGGGAGCCGUGUACAGGCUAUGAUCCGGGGAUAUCCGAAUAGGGAAACCUGCCGCAGAUAAUCUGUGGCAUCCCGUGGCUGAACACAUAGGUCAUGGGAAGGGAACCUGGGGAACUGAAACAUCUUAGUACCCAGAGGAAAAGAGACCAUUCCCCUAGUAGUGGCGAGCGAACGGGGAAGAGCCCAAACCAUCCGGCAUGCCGGAUGGGGUUGUAGGACUCGGCAAAUAGGAGUUAGAAAACCGUUAAUUAGCAGAAAGGUGUGGGAAAGCCUACCAAAGAGGGUGAUAGUCCCGUAUGCGAAAAUAGGCGGACUCCUGUCGAGCACCUGAGUACUACCGGGCACGCUAAUCCGGUAGGAAGCUGGGGAGACCACUCUCCAAGGCUAAAUACACUUGACGACCGAUAGUGAACAAGUACCGUGAGGGAAAGGUGAAAAGUACCCCUGUGAGGGGAGUGAAAUAGAACCUAAAACCGUAAGCUUACAAGCAGUCGAAGGGCUAAUAGUGCGACUGUGCUCUGGAGAGAUCCAGGUGCGCGGCGCUAAGCCUGACGGCGUGCCUUUUGGAGAAUGAGCCUGCGAGUUAAUCUUUGUCGCGAGGUUAAGGGAGAGACACCCGGAGCCGAAGCGAAAGCGAGUCUUAAUAGGGCGCGUAGUGGCAGGGAUUAGACACGAAACCGAGUGAGCUACCCAUGGCCAGGGUGAAGCGGGUCUAAACGCCCGUGGAGGCCCGAACCCACUAAUGUUGCAAAAUUAGGGGAUGAGCUGUGGGUAGAGGUGAUAUGCCAAACGAACUCGGAGAUAGCUUGUUCUCCCCGAAAUAGCUUUAGGGCUAGCGUCAUGUGGUGAGUACCGGAGGUAGAGCACUGGAUGAGCUAGGGGGCUUACAGCUUACCAAACUCAACCAAACUCCGAAUGCCGGUACUUUAGAGCAUGGCAGUCGGACUACGGGAGAUGAGUUUCGUAGUCGAGAGGGAAAGAGCCCAGACCAUCAGCUAAGGUCCUUAAGUCCAGGCUAAGUGGGAAACGAUGUGGGAUUACUGAGACAACCAGGAGGUUGGCUUAGAAGCAGCCACCCUUUAAAGAGUGCGUAACAGCUCACUGGUCAAGUGGUCCUGCGCGGAAAAUUUAACGGGGCUAAGCCUGGCGCCGAAGCCAUGGGAGGUUAGUCUGAUAAUCGUGUAGUUGUGUAGUAGGUAGUCGGAUAGUCAAGGAGUAGAGGAUAGAGACUAAAGACUAAAGACUGAGUAACUACAGGACUAUAGGAUUAUCAGACUGAUCUCGGUAGGGGAGCGUUCUGCCAGCGGUGAAGGUUGACCGAGAGGACGACUGGAGCGGGCAGAAGUGAGAAUGCAGGCAUGAGUAGCGUAAAACACGUGAGAACCGUGUUCGCCGAAAGUCUAAGGUUUCCGACGGCAGGUCAAUCCGCGUCGGGUUAGUCGGUCCUUAGCCGAGGCCGAAAGGCGUAGGCGAUGGACAUCCGGUCAACAUUCCGGAACCAUCCAAGGUGAGCGAAGGGGGGACGCAGCGAGGUAAGCCAGCCCACGAAUGGUAGAGUGGGUGUAAGUGUGUAGGCGUAGAGGUCCGUAGGAAAAACCGCGGGCUGAGCCGAGGCACGAGUGCGAGCCCCUGAGGCAGAAGUGGUUGAACCUUGCUGCCGAGAAAAGCCUCUAAGCGAUGAAGCUUGGGUGACCGUACCGCAAACCGACACAGGUAGACGGGUAGAGAAUACCAAGGCGAACGGGAGAACCUUCGUUAAGGAACUAGGCAAAUUAGCCCCGUAACUUCGGGAUAAGGGGUGCCUCCUGAUGUGAAACUAGAACAGGUGAAGCGUUAGGAGGUCGCAGCGAACAGGCUCUGGUGACUGGUUACCAAAACCACAGGUCUCUGCAAAGCCGAAAGGCGAUGUAUAGGGGCUGACACCUGCCCAGUGCCGGAAGGUUAAGGGGAUGGGUUAGCCAAGGCUUAGGCCAAAAGCAAAGCUCAGAACCGAAGCCCCGGUGAACGGCGGCCGUAACUAUAACGGUCCUAAGGUAGCGAAAUUCCUUGUCGGGUAAGUUCCGACCCG